rnacentral:tRNA from 1 species
UGGGGAUUAGUCCAGCGGUAGGACGCCUGACUCUGGCUCAGGAAGCGGAGGUUCGAACCCUCCAUCCCCAGCCA